rnacentral:rRNA from 1 species
AGGGCCGCGGUAAUUUGACCGUGCGAAGGUAGCAUAAUCAUUAGUCUCUUAAUUGGAGGCUUGUAUGAACGGCUGGAUGAAGGACAUACUGUCUUUUUUUUAAAUUGAAUUUAACUUUUAAGUGAAAAGGCUUAAAUUUACUGGGGGGACGAUAAGACCCUAUAAAACUUUAUACAUUUAAUUAUUUUAAAUAAAUCAUAUAUUAAGCGUUACUAUAACUAAUUGUAUUUUGCUGGGGCGGCAUUGAUAUAUAAUUAACUGUCUUUUUUAUUGAAUAGGUAUAACUAGAUUAUGAUCCUUCUGUGAAGAUUACAAGUCUAAGUUACUUUAGGGAUAACAGCGUGAUUUUCUUUGAGAGUUCAUAUCGACAAGAAAAGUUGCGACCUCGAUGUUGAAUUAAAAUUUUUAGUUGGGUGCAGCCGCUCAAACUGUUAGGUCUGUUCGACCUUUAAAAUUUU